rnacentral:rRNA from 1 species
GACGAACGCUGGCGGCGUGCUUAACACAUGCAAGUCGAACGCUGAAGCUUGGUGCUUGCACUGGGUGGAUGAGUGGCGCACGGGUGAGUAAUACGUGAGUAACCUGCCCUUGACUCUGGUAUAAUCCUGGGAAACUGGGUCUAAUACUGGAUACGCCAUGCCACUGCAUGGUGGUGUGUGGAAAGGGUUUUACUGGUUUUGGAUGGGCUCACGGCCUAUCAGCUUGUUGGUGGGGUAAUGGCCUACCAAGGCGACGACGGGUAGCCGGCCUGAGUGGGUGGACGGGCAAAAUGGGAAGGAGAAAAGGCCCAGAAUCCUAAGGGAGGGAGGAGGGGGGAAUAUUGGAAAAAGGGGGGAAGGCUGAUGCAGGGAAGGCGCGUGGGGGAAGACGGGCUUCGGGUUGUAAACCUCUUUCAGCACGGAAGAAGCGAGAGUGACGGUACGGGCAGAAGAAGCGCCGGCUAACUACGUG